AAUCUGAUGAAGUCUAACUUAGGAAUGGUAGGAAGUGUGUGUAUAGUGAAUUAAGGGGUGUAGGCGAAAAUGGUUUCUGUUGGGCUUUAGUAAUGGCUUGGUUUAGAACUGAGGGGUGCAUAUAGGGAAAUCUGGGGGUGUAAGGGUAAAAACUGACUGUUUGGCCCAUCUGUCAUUAUUUAUCAAAUAAAAUCUGAUUUUGGGCUUUAAAUUGCAAUUUGGACCAAUAAAACUCUAACUUCA
rnacentral:lncRNA from 1 species